GAUGAACGCUGGCGGCGUGCCUAAUACAUGCAAGUCGAGCGAACGGACGAGAAGCUUGCUUCUCUGAUGUUAGCGGCGGACGGGUGAGUAACACGUGGAUAACCUACCUAUAAGACUGGGAUAACUUCGGGAAACCGGAGCUAAUACCGGAUAAUAUUUUGAACCGCAUGGUUCAACAGUGAAAGACGGUCUUGCUGUCACUUAUAGAUGGAUCCGCGCUGCAUUAGCUAGUUGGUAAGGUAACGGCUUACCAAGGCAACGAUGCAUAGCCGACCUGAGAGGGUGAUCGGACACACUGGAAGUGAGACACGGUACAGACUCCUACGGGAGGAAGCAGUAGGGAAUCUUACGCAAUGGGCGAAAGCCUGACGGAGCAAAGCCGCGUGAGUGAUGAAGGUCUUAGGAUCGGAAAACUCUGUUAUUAGGGAAGAACAUAUGUGUAAGUAACUGUGAACAUCUUGACGGUACCUAAUCAGAAAGCCACGGUUAACUACGUG
rnacentral:rRNA from 1 species